rnacentral:rRNA from 1 species
UACAGAGGGUGCGAGCGUUGUUCGGAAUUACUGGGCGUAAAGCGCGCGCAGGCGGCCUUUUAAGUCUGCUGGUGAAAUGCCGGGGCUCAACCCCGUGCCCGCCACAGAUACUGGGAGGCUGGAGACGAGUAGAGGCAAGCGGAAUUCCGGGUGUAGCGGUGGAAUGCGUAGAGAUCCGGAAGAACACCGGAGGCGAAGGCGGCUUGCUGGGCUCGGUCUGACGCUGAGGCGCGAAGGCUAGGGGAGCGAACGGG